UACGUAGGUGGCAAGCGUUGUCCGGAAUUAUUGGGCGUAAAGCGCGCGCAGGCGGUCCUUUAAGUCUGAUGUGAAAGCCCACGGCUCAACCGUGGAGGGUCAUUGGAAACUGGGGGACUUGAGUACAGAAGAGAAGAGUGGAAUUCCACGUGUAGCGGUGAAAUGCGUAGAGAUGUGGAGGAACACCAGUGGCGAAGGCGACUCUUUGGUCUGUAACUGACGCUGAGGCGCGAAAGCGUGGGGAGCAAACGG
rnacentral:rRNA from 1 species